CUCUACUUAUAAACAAUGUAACCGUGAUUAGUUGGAUACUCUAGACUUUACAAGUGACUGAAAUCUUUUGAGCUUAUACAAUUUCUCAUUUAAACCUCAUUUAUUCAUGUUUAACUUCAUUUAUUCUCAUUUAAUAGAAUAUAUGUAAAAGUUUUAUAUCUUAAACUCAAAGUUUUAUAUCUAAUAAGCAGUUAAAGCCUAGCCAGCUUUAUUCCUUUUAAAGAAGAUUUAACCUUAUAUUUUACUUUCAGAAUUAGAAUGGGUUGAUUUUCCUAUUCUAAAACCUCGUGUAGUUGCCCAGGUUGUGUUUAAUCAAGGUCAAUAAAACAUCUGUCUAAAGUUUAAAUAUUACUUGUCAUGAUUUAUCGAUUGCUCCAAAUCUUCGUUACACAGAUGGUUUAUAUAUGGAACCCUAGAUAUCUCUGAGUAACCCCUUCUGAUCAACUCCACCACCCUGAAUCUACUCAUCAUGAAGCCGAUGCUCGGGGAACACGCCUCCUCUAUGUUCCUCUUGUAAGGCUCAGCCUACUGAUAUAUAUACCAGGAUUAAACAGAACCUCGUUGCUACUCAAUAGCCUCGCAAUCUUCUCGCACUCCGGAGCACCUGUGUUCUGGAUGAUGUGCUCGACGGAUCCUACUUGGAACCCUGUCGUGAUAUCCUCCUCCAGCUCAAGCAUGACGGACCUGUAAGGCUUGUACUGGAUCAUCUUCUCCUCACCCACCUCUUACCUCACCCACUGGUGCAGCCAUCUGUUAUUAUAAAGCCCAAGUCUGUGUGGUCGAUGAACUCCUUCACGACCUCCACCUAGCAGCGGACCAUAAACUGUACCUCCUCUCCCAAAGCCUCUACUGGACGGACUGAUCCUAGGCGCAACCUACGGAUCAUUGAUAGGUACUAUAUUACUUCACAUGCGUCCCUGUGUUUAGUGUGAUUAAACUGUUACUUAAACUAAGGAUUCGAAGAAACACUAAAGGAGUUGAAUCUAACCAUACCUAUUUAGUCUCGUCCUGGACUUGUCUAACUGACUGCAGAGCUAGCGAUCCAACCUCAAAUCUACUUCGAAAGUUCAGCGAUCUAUCCUGCAAUCUAUCCUGCGAUCUAUCUAUGGCUACGAACCCCCUGGCCAGUUCAACUUUGUAAGUGUAUUUUAUUUAUCAUUCAUAAACGUAAUUCCUGGGCAACUCAAAUGGCUUAAAUUGUACAAAUUCUUUUAUUAUUAUUAUCACGAAUAUUAUACUUAUUUUAUACUAUAUGAACUAUUAUACUAGUCGGGACUGAAU